rnacentral:tRNA from 1 species
AAAAAUCUAGUUUAUUUAAAACAUUUAGUUGCAAACUAAAAAAAAUCAGUUGAUUUUUU